rnacentral:sRNA from 1 species
UCCGCCCCGGGGGGCUCCGCUCACCGCCCUCGGGGGAGGGCGGAGAUGCCGGUGUCCGAGAGGAUGGGGAUGCCUAGGCCGUUUUGGGGCGGGGAGUGUGUCCGCCAGGUCUGGGACUGAGGUGCGGUCUUCUUAAACGCGCCCCCCCUCCCGCCGCCGUGGGCCCCAAACUUCGUCCUUCUCCCCGGCCUUGUACCCUCGGGCGACCACGGCAGUUUUGGGGUGGGGGAUGCCUCAGGAGCUGUGUCUACCCUGAUCAGGAGGAAGAGGGAGCAGUGACAUUCAGCGACUGCGGACAGGCAUCCUCGGGUGGGAGUGGGGAUGUCAGAUGCAGGCUUGGAGAGGGAAGCUGCCCCUCAGGAUGCCCUCUCCCGGCCUGCGGGAGGCUGGCGAGCUCGGAGCUGCGAUCUGGGUGCUUCCUAGACUGUGCAGCUGGAUGGCAAAGGGGCAGGGGGUUGGGCUGGGGGCGACCGCUGGGGGGCCCUUUCCUCGUCUCCAACCAGCGCUGUAAAGAAAGCUGAUGGCGAAGUUCGGUUUUCCAGGCUUCCCCUGGGCCCCCGGAGUUCCUGAGGCCCAUACGAGGGAGGCCGGGGGAUCCUCUGGCCGCCUAGGCAAGGCUACUCGAAAGCUGCCCACAUGCCUUGCAGCGCCCUCCGGACUCUGGAGAAAACGUCCCUACUCUCCCCAGAGUUAGGUGGGAUGCUGGUAAGAGAUACUUGAGAGUAUGAGAAAGGUGGACUUGAGAAAAGGCUCCUCCUACAGAGUUCGAACGUUUCCCUUUCCCAGACCACUGUCAAGAAGGGAAACAAAACUAUGUCCCGGGGAAAGCCAAGUUUCCCCGUGUGGUGGCCGGGGUGGUAAAACCACCUGUUGCCUCAAGUUCUGUCCUUGAAUCAGGAUGUUCUUGGGGCCCCUGAUGAGGAGAUGUAGGAUGUCAAGGAGUAGGAAUUUCAGUCUCCCUGCCCUGAAUGACUCACAUUUUUAUGCCACUGACACUAUUGCAGCGGUGUUCGACUCCCCAUUAAAAACUACUGUUCAACUAUGUAGGUACUUUGUUAGAACCAACAACCUCGGUUCCUAUCUCAGACACAGCAGCAGCAUCCCUGCGCAUGCAGACAAAAAUACACAAAGGCUACUAUGGUAUGCAAGCUCCCCUGCUUCUGUGUUUGGCAGCAAGGUGAAGAAGAAGCCAAGACAAAGGGCAGAGCAUGGACUUCACUGCAUCUCUCUCUGGUUGACCUCCAAUUCCAAAAUCUGCCUGCUUCAGCCUCCAGGAACUGAGAUAACACCAGCCUGCUCAUCCCUUACUCUAUGGAGGUGCCCUGAAGCAAUUCCUACAUGAUUCUUACACAUGCCACAUUUAGAAUCAUCUGAGGAGUGUUAGCCCAACCUUUGCCCUAAGUCUCUCCUGAAGCUAAGUAAAUCUGGAGAAUGGAGCGUAAAAGGGUGAAGUUCGGUGAAGAAGCUGCUGACCUGAGUGACGAGAUGCUUGGCUGCACGGGUGUCCUGUGGCUGAGGAGGGAAGCUUAGAGCCUGUGUCAUCAACUCUGUGAAAACAUGGGACACUGCCAGACAUAGAUGCACAUUGUCUGAGAAGGCUGGCCUCUAACUCAACGAUUGUGUAGACAACAGAAUAUCCAUAUCUAGAUUAUAUGUGUAAAGAACUUAUAAAAAUCAGUUAUGUUUUGUUUCUUGGUUUGUUUGGCUUUUUUCCGAUUGGUGUUAAUACUAUAGCCCAAAAAAAAAAAAAAAAAAA